UGGGUAAGUCCUACACGACCAGCUCCCUUCUAAUUCCCCAGGGCCUGACCGCAGCAAGGAGAGUCGGUUGUAGCGGUGCGAUGUAGUAAGCUUGCCCACC
rnacentral:SRP_RNA from 1 species